AUUAACUUGGCAGAAAUCUAUGCCUUAAAUUUAGAAUUUAAUUAUAUAAUUAAUUUAUAGUUAAUA
rnacentral:tRNA from 2 species